CAACUUCAAACCCUCAGCCUCAAAGGAAAGAAAGUUACCCUGAAACAGCGCAUGGCGCAAAGCCUCUGUUUUCCCCUGUUUAUACACCACAAUCGCAUUCACCAACUUCUAAUCCGACAUCUCAAAGGAAAGAAAGUUACCCUGAAUCAACGCAUGGCAAAAAGCCUCUGUUUUCCCACGUUUAUACACCACAAUCACAGUCACCAACUUCUAAUCCGACAUCUCAAAGGAAAGAAAGUUAUCCUGAAACAGCGCAUGGCGCAAAGCCUCUGUUUUCCCCUGUUUAUACACCACAAUCACAUUCACCAACUUCUAAUCCGACAUCUCAAAGGAAAGAAAGUUACUCUGAAACAGCACAUGGCGCAAAGCCUCUGUUUUCCCCUGUUUAUACACAACAAUCACACUUGCCAACUUCAAGUCCAAUGCAUCAAAGAAAAGAAAGUUACCCUGAGACAGCACACGAUGCAAACCCUCAUUUUUCCACUGGUUCUGCACAACAACCACAUUAUCCAACUUCAAAUCCAACACCUCAAAAUAAAGAAAGUUACCCGAAUAAACCACAAGGUGGGAAACCUCUGUUUUCCCCUGCUGAUAAGCAAAAACCACACCCUCCAACAUCACAUUCAACACCUGAAAUGAAACAAAGCUACCCUGAUUAUGAAACACGAGGU
rnacentral:lncRNA from 1 species